CCAAGUGCCAAAUCAAACUCGCACGUGCCAACACUGGGCAUGACCUAAAUUGAAAUAAAACCCUGAAGGUUACAGGGGAACGUGGCCCGCGGCUGCUAUGGCGGAAGAGCGGUGCUGCGAUGACAGAGCCACCGCACAGACCAUGUUCACCUGUGUUGACACUGGUUUUUCUUCAGGAUUCAUUUCUCAGUGAAACACCCAGUUGAAAUAUCUUCAAGCCCCAUGUUCUGAUGUAAUUGUUCAACAUCUGAAGGCUGGUUCAGUUACUUGCAAAUAUGGAAAGCUGUAACCUCAGCUUAGUUCACUGUCCUGAAACCAUCUUCAAGGAACAGGAAGCCGCGAAUGGCGCCUUUGAUUCAAGUCAAGGCUUUACAUAGUAAAAUCAACUGGCACUUAAAUCUUCAUUUCUUCACCUCGCUGAUGGUUGAUUUUCUUAUAUCUCUAAAUUUAACCUUUGCAAACUAUAUAUUCAUUUUAAUGUGGAAAAACUGUGUGCAAGGAAGACGAUGAAGAAUCAUGUUUUCAGAUCCUGAUCUAAUGACUGCCCAGCUCAUUGCUGAAGGUGGUUUUCCCUAUUGGAUUUGAUGUUUCCUUACUCAUCUGAGAUCUUCCUUGCCACUUUGUCAAAUUGUUAAUAUUAUUUUUUUAAAAAAGCUGUUUAGAUUUGUGUCCAGACUUUCAAAAUUAUGCUGCUAAUCCCAGUAAUUAUGUUUUUAUUUUCUUAUGUUAACAUUUCUAGUGGUUACUGUUGAUAGGUAAAACUAGUGGUGACUGGUGAUAGGUAAAAUAAAAUAAAAAAUAUAGAUGGGCAGUGUAGAAAGUGAUGAUUAAAGCAGGUACUUCUGAUAUAUUGUUCGACACAUCUAGAGUUGCUCUUGGUGCAGCACACUACUUUGUGGCUGUGCUGAGCCUGGAUUGUGCUUCUGCAUCAUGAUUACAAAGUCUGCUCACUGAUUCAUUCACUGUCCAAGUUAUUUCUAGUAUAAUUUUCUACCAAUUUUUGUGCUACUUCAGUUGCUGCUUGUGAUACCAUCGUAGUGUAAAUUUGCGCUCUGGCUCUGCUUCCUAAUUCAUGAUGUAAAGUGAUGAGUCUUGUUGUACCAAGCUUUACAGGUUUAUAGCAUGUUUGACACUGAAAUUACUUGAAGAAACUUUUCCCCAUUAUUGAUUUUGGCUUUAGCAUAAAUUGUAUAAGGAUUUUCAAACAUGCACUUAGUACUUACAGCACACCUGAACACCACUCUACAAUCUAAAUCAAUGUGCCUUCUCAAUAAAAAUGAUUGUCUUGGUGAUGGUUGCCUUGUAUUGAAAGCCUUAGGGUGCUCUAACAUCUUACCUUGGCUGAUUGUGAUUGAUAUUCAAGAGUUCCUCUAAUUAUUGCUUGCUGUUAAAUGUACUGUCCUACACAAUUUGUACUUUCUGUUAAAUGUCAAGAGUGCAUGACUAUUAAUCAUCCCGACCAAUGCAAUUAUGCAAAUUUUCCAUGCAGCUUUCCUCAUAAAAGUUUGGUUCACGAGUCCGGUUUGACGAAUACCCAAACCUCCAGCAGGCUUUGGACUACACAAGGGGGCCCAAUUAAUCAGAUGAAUUCUCCUAUUAGCAUUUAGCAGAUAAAGGAUCCACACAUUCUAAUUUAUCGCAUAUUGAUAAUGUGGUGUAGUUUGUAUCACAUAGUUAGGCACGACUUGCAAGUUGCAACACUUAGCUUGUUUGGUUCUGUGGCAGGAAGUCUCAUCUUCACUUAUGGGGAGAAGCUACAAAGUGUAGGAGUUAGAAUGCUUUUGAUUAUGUGUUCAUAGCUAAUCCAAGCACAUUAUAUUAGGAUUUAGGAGUUGAUAGGCGUUGUCCAUGAUAUACUCAUAAGAGUUACAAUGAUAUCAUUCAUGGUGUAUGUGAACUUCAAUAUAUUUACCCAAGUUACUUGUUCUUAGGAAACCGAAAGGUAAGCUAAUAUGAUUCUUCAUAUUGAUUCAAA